rnacentral:rRNA from 1 species
GACGAACGCUGGCGGCGUGCCUAAUACAUGCAAGUAGAACGCACAGUUUAUACCGUAGCUUGCUACACCAUAGACUGUGAGUUGCGAACGGGUGAGUAACGCGUAGGUAACCUGCCUGGCAGCGGGGGAUAACUAUUGGAAACGAUAGCUAAUACCGCAUAAUAUUGAUUAUUGCAUGAUACUUGAUUUAAAGAUGCUAUUGCAUCACUAUCAGAUGGACCUGCGUUGUAUUAGCUAGUAGGUGAGGUAACGGCUCACCUAGGCGACGAUACAUAGCCGACCUGGGAGGGUGAUCGGCCACACUGGGACUGGGACACGGCCCAGACUCCUACGGGAGGCAGCAGUAGGGAAUCUUCGGCAAUGGACGAAAGUCUGACCGAGCAACGCCGCGUGAGUGAAGAAGGUUUUCGGAUCGGAAAGCUCUGUUGUAAGAGAAGAACGGGUAUGAGAGUGGAAAGUUCACACUGUGACGGUAUCUUACCAGAAAGGGACGGCUAACUACGUG